GGGGCCCGCCCCUGCGGCGCCCGCCCUGCCGCUCGUAAAGCGGGGAGGGUUGUGUUGGUAACUGCUUUGGCGACGCUGUUUCGGCUUUCGCUGUGGCCUGGGCUCGGGCUCUUCUGGGUUUUUUGCUGGUUGUGCUCCGUGCGAGGGAAUCGUCCUUGUGUGCUUUGUGCUUGAGAAGAGGGGCAUAACAUGGGUGGAGACAGCUGUGUGGGAAGAAGACUGAGUGGCUGCUGAACCUCUGUGGCUAAGUUGGACAUAGACUGUCUCAUAAAACACCUGCUUCGAAGCACCACGACUGUGUUAGCUGGGAAGGAAGAAUGAAUUCCAGGAGGAGGAAUCUCCACUGAUCAUGCCUCUUCCCAGCAUCUAGACAUUCAAACCCAGAUACCUGCAACCAAGAACUUGAUUUUGACAAUUAAGUAAAAAGAGUGGUGGACUUUCUCAGGUAAACCAGGCAAGAUGAGCUGUAUUCCCUGGAGAAUAAGCUAUUUGGUUUUAUAGCACAAUAUUGCCUCCAGGGAUGACCAUUUAUGCUACUUUUACUGGAUUGUUACAGGAAUAAUAUUAUCAUAUAACUGAUUGCUUUUUCACCAGCAGCACCUACCUCCUACAUACUACACCUUCAUUUGCACUUCUUGACAACUCUUGCGCAGCAGCAUGCAGAUCCCUUUUGGCCUAGCACAGCAGAUGGGAUGCCUUGGCUUAUGCUUGAAACUAAAAGGCAAGUUUUGUAACAUUUUGCUGUGUAUUUUCAUGUGCUAGUAGCAGGAGCAUGUGAUACUAAUUCCUGAGGUACAGCAUCACUCCUACUCCCAUCACUCCUACUCCCAUGACAAGCCUUUUCUGAACAGGUUCAGCCAGCUUUGCAACUGCAGCAGUCAUUUUUCCCUGAUACUUAUAGACAGGGUCUAGAAUAAUACUGUCAAACCACCUUUCAGAUCUUAUGGGUAAAGGAGGAUCUGCAAAUGUGAAAGGCUAGUAUCAUAAUAUCUUCUAAUGCCAUAGUAUCAUAUAAUGCUAGUUCCUCGGUUCCUUGAUUUAACAUCCUAGUACUAAAAAGCUUCUAUGGACUUUCAGGGCAGUUUUGAGUAAUGUCAUUAAAAUUGUCACAGGAGCUAAUGUCUUUAAAUAUUUCAUUCUUUUAUGUUUAGGUUUUAAUUAUUCCUUGUUUAAUUCUCUCUGAAAAUGAGUGCUCUUUUCCAGCAAAGAAGAAUGUGAAUUACACAUGGGGUUUAUGUUUGUAUUUUCAUUUUCUUCAGAAAUUGCUGUAUGAACGAAUCACAGGGGCCACAUUUUGACCAACAGAUUACUCAGCUCAACCACCCACUAGAUUGGUCCAUGUGUCACUCAUGGAACUUGUGUAAUUUCCAUCUCUGAAAAUCUUCGGUUACAGAGCAAACACUCUGAGGAAUAACAUACACAAAAUCUAGGACAGAGCAAUAGUCUAUGUCACUGUUUCUCAGCCUUUUUUUAGGUGAAGAACAAGCCAGACUUUAAGCAAAGAAAGAUAUACCUUAUCUCGUUUUGUCAUAUUUUUUUUCUUGUAUGGCUAAACAACACAUGGGCUAAAAUGGGAUCAUUCAUGCUGUAGUUGUUUUACUAUAAUUUUUAUUCAUUUACUUAUACUUGGCUGUACAUUUUGCUAACAUUAUGGGGUUUAAAAUCAUUUGGUAAACGUGCCAUCUAAGAUCUGAUGAGCCAGUGGUGAAAAGGGUUUGAGAAGCAUUCAGCUAAGGACUUCUGCAGGUCCUUUUAAUCCAUUUACUUUACAACUCUUUGAUAUGUAGGUGUUCCCUAGCACACAACUUGCACCAUUCACUCCAGAGUAAUAAGAGUGAUCAAGGGAAUGAAAUAACCCAGUACUGUUGAAUCGAAUUCUGAUAUAGCAAAAAGAAAUGCAGAUGUUUCCUAUAUGCAGGCUUCCCAGGUGGUUAGUUGACAGUUUAGGCAAAUGUUAUUUUCUUGCACUGUUAAUCAUUUCUUGUUAAGUGUGUCAUAAUACAUUUAUUUACAGAAUCUAACAUUGCAUUGACAGCAGGGAGUACGGUGCACUCUUUGUGAAGUCAGUCUGAAGAUUGUUAUUUAAAGCAGUAUCAAAGAUGAAGAAGAUAGGGGCUUAGCUCGCAUGAGGUGAUGAGGGAAAUUGCAUUGAGACAACAGAGCAAGAGGUUAGCUUCCUGCGCUCUGGCAUGGAGAGAUAUGAGAAGCAAAAGGGUACAGUAGUAAAUCAUGGGAUAAUGGCAUCAUAGUGUCAUAGAGUCAUAGAAUAGUUUGGGUUGGAAGGGACCUUCAAAGGUCAUCAUGUUAUUUCAUAGGAUGUCCUGGAAAAACAAAUGGAAGUAGAACAGUAUUAUGUCUUUCACAUGCACUGUAAGCAUCUACAGAGUGAUUCAGAGACCCAUGUGCUGAAGAUGGGCUUUAAAUAGAAAACUGGGGAGAAGAGGGGGGUGAGAUGCCCUGUUAACUCCAGUAGUGACACCACUAACUCCACUAGAAACCCUAUUUUGAAAUGAUCUCCUGAGAGUAUGAAACAUAACUGGUUAUUCUCUCAUCCAAAAGUCAUAGCAGCUCAAGAGCAUUCAAAAAGUUGAUUGUUCUGUGUACAGGAAGCCCUUGAGGCGACUCGUGCAAGGAAAACCCUGAAAUGGAGGCAUGAGGAAAAUGGAGGCUUUCUUUUUCAUCACUGUUUUAAAGCCAGCAGAGCACCACUGGCAUCAGCUUUCUGCAUCAGAUGGGGAAGUAGGUAUCUUCUCUCACAAGAUAAGCUGCUGUUGGAGAGAAGCAACAGCCUGAAGUUGCUUGGAGCAACUCGAGAUAGGCUGGAAAUAUGCGGUAUGUGAUGUCUUUAGCUGGGCCCUACGGCAUAUACACCCAGCAAGCUCUCAAGAGCGGUUUGAAAACCACUCUUUCAAUUGAAUGCAUGUAACGCCAAGAAGAAAUACUCAGUGAUGGAGGAAGUUUUCCUACACUUCAAAAGGCAAUGCGACAAAGGUCUAACAGUGCAGUAUCCUAAUUCCCAGUGUGCAUGUUCACAUUGCAGAGACAUGGGGAAAAGUCCCUGUGUUUGAUACCAGCAGUGGAUGAUACCAUUCUGUUGAUGUCCUCAUCUGUCCCAGUUCUGCAAUGUUACUUCUCAAGUUUCCUCCAUAAUCCAUAGAGUUAGGAAGCAUUUCCCAGCUAUAUGCUGCUCUGAAUAAUAUAGUAUUUGUAUUGUAAUUUUCUUUUCUGAAUGACAAAUUAUGUACUGAUUCUCUAUCAUGAAAACUUGAGUGAGUCUGGAAACAGCAUUUGUGCAUGUUCAGUGUAUCAUAUUGAUCAUAAUAGGGAGAAAGCCAAGAGAAGCCUUCUCCAUAGAAACACAAGGUACAGUGGGAACGCCAAGUCUUCUCUCAGUGAUAAAUGGCACUGACACUGUGAUUUCUCUGCUCUUGUAGUCUCUGGAGGUAUCUCUAUGGAAUAAAAUUUUUAUUAAC